UAGUUACCGUAUCCCUUAGCAUAAUCUUGUACCCUCCUAAGUAGUAAUAAACUUUCUCGGAAAAUCCGCAACAAACAAACUUUCCCAAGAAAAUAACUUGCUAAAGAAUGUGCGGUGGUGCCAUAAUCUCCGACUGCAUACCUCCACCCCGAUCAUCCCGCCGACUCACCGCCGACUUGUUAUGGGGCUGCUCCAAUCUGAACAAUAAGAAGAAAAAGAAGAACCCUUUUAAUUACCAAUACUCAAAGCCGUUGAGAUCUGAGGUUGUUGAUUUUGAUUAUGAUGACUUUGAGGCUGACUUUCAGGACUUUAAGGAUUGCUCUGAUGAUGAGGUGGAUGAACUCAAGCCCCUUGCUGCUUUCUCUGCUUCUGAACAAUCUGGAGGAACCUCUGCUGGCUCCAAAUCAUUGAAAUCUGUUGAUCCAGACAAAGAAGUUGAGAAGUCUUCCAAGAGAAAGAGGAAGAAUCAGUAUAGGGGGAUCAGACAGCGUCCUUGGGGUAAGUGGGCAGCCGAAAUACGUGAUCCACAGAAAGGGGUUCGAGUCUGGCUUGGAACUUUCAAUACGGCAGAAGAAGCUGCCAGAGCUUAUGAUAUUGAAGCUCGGAGGAUCAGAGGCAAGAAAGCUAAGGUAAACUUUCCUGAUGAAGCCCCAGUGGCUGCCUCGAGGCAAGCUGGUAAGGUAAAUCCUCUGACGGUGCUCCCUAAGGCGAGCUCUAACCCAGUUCUGUCCGACGCCACUUUUGUGAACAACUUGGAUGAUGGAUGUUAUGAAAAAUUGGGCUUUUUCGAAGAGAAACCAACAAAAAAUCUGUAUGGGUAUGACGAUUUGUGCCCUACUCCUGGAGAUUUGGGACCUAACUCUUAUGCCCUUCCAGCUGCUGCUGGUGUUUACUUCAAUUCUGAUCAAGGAAGUAACUCUUUUGAACCUUCUGAUUUUGGCUGGGGCGUGUUCAAGGACACCAGAAAUAUCAUCUGUUCUGUCGGCUGCUGUAGAAAGUGAUGAAGCUCAAUUUGUUGAAGGUGCCUGCCCAGAGGAAAAACUUAUAUCGUGUUCCAACAUUUCAGCACCUAACGAUGGGAACACUGCCCCCAAGCUAUCUGAAGAGCUUUCAACUUUUGAAUCCCAGAUGAAUUUCUUCCAAGCCCAACAAUCGGAGGGAAACUUGGAUGCGUUAGUUGAUGCCUUCCUCAAUGCAGAUGCAACUCAGGAUGUUGAAAAUGAAAUGGACCUUUGGUUCUUUGAUGAGCUUUCUUCUCUAAUGAGAGGUGUCUACUAAGCUAAGAAUGAUUCUGCAGACUCAAUGCUUCUGCAGACUCGUUGUAAAUAAAGCUUCACGCGAGUGAAGUUUGCUCGUCUCUCCUCUCCAAGCAAGGCUCAGUUACUUGCUGUAAGCAUUUAUUUGAAACUUUACCGUUUGAUAUCUGUUUCCUUCUUCUUUUAAGUGUCUGUUUAGGAGGAUGAUGGCAAAGCAUUCAAGCAAUGAGUAGAUGUUGGUUAUAGAUCAAUAGAUAGGUAAUAGAUUAUUAACAACCGCAGACAACAACGUGAAGAUCUGGUUAUUUUACAAUGGCAAGUUGCUUUACAUGGUCUGUUCGUUGUAGUCAACGUUAUGCAUAUGCUGGCUAAAUAUAGUUUUGUUAGCUAUAGCAGUCCCGGAACAGAGAUUAAUUAAACUAAGUGGAUGAUUUGAGCUGUAAAUAUUGAAAGGAGAGAUGCACGAUCUUUUGAUCGAUCAAGAAUUGCACUCAUUGGAAUGUAGUUAUGUGAAAAUCAGUUUCACAAUUUUGAA